GGGCUCGUAGCUUAGCCGGUUCAAAGCGCCUCCCUGUCACGGAGGAGAUCGCCGGUUCGAAUCCGGUCGAGCCCG
rnacentral:tRNA from 1 species